GAUUGUUCACCCACCAAUAGGGAACGUGAGCUGGGUUUAGACCGCCGUGAGACAGUUUAGUUUUACCCUACAGAUGACAGUGUCGUAAUAGUAAUUCAACCUAGUAUGAGAGGGACCGUUGAUUCGCACAAUUGGUCAUCGCGCUUGGUUGAAAAGCUAGUGGCGCAAAGCUACCGUGUGCUGGAUUAUGAUUGAAUGCCUCUAAGUCAGAAUCUGGGCUAGAAGUGACACAUGCACCCUUCGCCUGCUUGCCGACCCAUAGUAGGGGCCGUCCGGCCUUUAGGCCCUAAAGGCACGUGUCGUUGGUGAAGCCCGCAUGGCAGACGAGCCGCGCGGGCCGCCUUGAAGUACAAUUCCUAUCUCGAGCGGCGGGUAGAAACCUCUACAGGCGACUUAAGUACGUGACGGGGUAUUGUAAGUGGUAGAGUGGCCUUGCUACCACGAUCCACUGAGAU
rnacentral:rRNA from 1 species